CCCCUUCCUAAAAGAUCUGUUGGAACCCAACUAUCCAAGGACACUACUAAGACUCAGAGGUACUAAGCAGAGACUCUAUCUCUCAGCAUCCCACUUGAAUGAGAAUGCCAACCGGCCACAGUCAAAAGUGCUCCGGGAGAUCCUGACCUUAAACUGGCCUUCCCUAAAGCGAACAAAUGGGGAUACCUCCUCAAAUGAAGGAAGAUUGAGCCGACAUUCUGCUAUGUGUUGUCCCUGACCCAGCACCUUUUACUGAAGAGCUGCAGAAGAUCACCAUUCCAGAGGAUCUCAGCGCUGAGCCAGUCAGAGCUCAGGUUGUUGCAACUGUUAUUAUCGGACUAUUUCUACUACAGUUCAUAUCACUAAAGAACAGUAGGUUCUGUCCCAGGUUUCUGCCUGUUAAAAGGAAGUUUUUCCUCGCCACUGUCACACCAAAUGCUUGCUCUUGGGGGAA